rnacentral:rRNA from 1 species
UACGAAGGGGGCGAGCGUUGUUCGGAAUUACUGGGCGUAAAGGGCGCGUAGGCGGCCGAUCAAGUCAGAUGUGAAAGUCCUGGGCUUAACCUGGGGACUGCAUUUGAUACUGAUUGGCUUGAAUGCAGGAGAGGAUAGCGGAAUUCCCGGUGUAGCGGUGAAAUGCGUAGAUAUUGGGAGGAACACCAGUGGCGAAGGCGGCUCACUGGACCGGAACUGACGCUGAGGCGCGAAAGCGUGGGGAGCAAACGGG